GCACUGCUGAGGAGUCCCACAAUAGAACGAAACGGAUGUUUAGUGC
rnacentral:hammerhead_ribozyme from 1 species